rnacentral:ncRNA from 1 species
AGAUAGAGGCGCGGUGCUCAUCAGUACCCCCGGCAAGGCCAGUCUGCCGCCGGACGGGAAAGGGAUCGCCGCCGAAGCGCCGAGGGAGGGACUGUUCCCUUUGCGCUGGGCCGUCGGAGAAGAUCCGCCGGACUGUCACAGUUUUGUGGAGCGCUAUCG